UGGACCCUCCAGAUGUUGCAUUUCCUGACAUGGAUAAGGAGGAUGGUACUGCCAGUUUACCAGAUUAUUCAAUAACAUAAUGCCAACCAUUUGUUGCAAGUGUCGACAUGGUGGAGGACUCAAGUUUAACUGACUGUUCUGUGACAGGUAAAGAACGGAUCCAUGUUUUCCUGGAUAUAGAGAAGACCCACUCCCUUCAGG